rnacentral:rRNA from 1 species
GACGAACGCUGGCGGCGUGCCAAAUACAUGCAAGUUGAGCGCUGAAGGUUGGUACUUGUACCAACUGGAUGAGCAGCGAACGGGUGAGUAACGCGUGGGGAAUCUGCCUUUGAGCGGGGGACAACAUUUGGAAACGAAUGCUAAUACCGCAUAAAAACUUUAAACACAAGUUUUAAGUUUGAAAGAUGCAAUUGCAUCACUCAAAGAUGAUCCCGCGUUGUAUUAGCUAGUUGGUGAGGUAAAGGCUCACCAAGGCGAUGAUACAUAGCCGACCUGAGAGGGUGAUCGGCCACAUUGGGACUGAGACACGGCCCAAACUCCUACGGGAGGCAGCAGUAGGGAAUCUUCGGCAAUGGACGAAAGUCUGACCGAGCAACGCCGCGUGAGUGAAGAAGGUUUUCGGAUCGUAAAACUCUGUUGGUAGAGAAGAACGUUGGUGAGAGUGGAAAGCUCAUCAAGUGACGGUAACUACCCAGAAAGGGACGGCUAACUACGUG